GCUAUGUUCGGAAAAGAUAACCGCUGAAAGCAUCUAAGCGGGAAACUUGCCUCAAGAUGAGAUCUCACUGGAACCUUGAGUUCCCUGAAGGGCCGUCGAAGACUACGACGUUGAUAGGUUGGGUGUGUAAGCGCUGUGAGGCGUUGAGCUAACCAAUACUAAUUGCCCGUGAGGCUUGACCAUAUAACACCCAAGCAAUU
rnacentral:rRNA from 1 species